AUUUUAAUGGUCGAGAUUAGGCGUUAAAUUGUAAAUUUAUUCACGAAAUCAAUUCUCUUUUACUA
rnacentral:tRNA from 1 species